rnacentral:rRNA from 1 species
GGCAUCAUACAACGCAUCUACACAACAUUUGCUAAUUCAACUAAAAGGUGGCAGAUCUUGAAAGAUAAUAUAGAUGAUACAACAGGAUUGACUCUCAAGUCGUUGUCAUCUACUCGUUGGGAGAGUCGAAUAGAUAGUGUUAAAGCUAUAAGAUUUCAGCUUUCGAACAUACGAGAAGCUUUACUGCAAGUAUCUGGUAUUGAUAAUGAUCCAAAAACUAGCAGUGAAGCUAAAUCUCUCGCGAAUAAUGAACUUGGUGAUUUUGAAUUUUUAGUAGCUAUUGUUAUUUGGUAUGACUGUAUGCCGUCAAUCUGGUCAGCAAGAACUUACAAUCAAAGGAUAUGCUUAUUGAUGUUGCUAUUGAGCAAGUGCAGGGGCUAA